UGGGGAAUAUUGGACAAUGGGCGAAAGCCUGAUCCAGCCAUGCCGCGUGAGUGACGAAGGCCUUAGGGUUGUAAAACUCUUUCGUCGGGGACGAUAAUGACGGUACCCGAAGAAGAAGCUCCGGCUAACUUCGUGCCAGCAGCCGCGGUAAUACGAAGGGAGCUAGCGUUGUUCGGAAUCACUGGGCGUAAAGCGCACGUAGGCGGAUAGUUAAGUCAGGGGUGAAAUCCCGGGGCUCAACCUCGGAACUGCCUUUGAUACUGCGGAUCUCGAGUCCGAUAGAGGUGAGUGGAAUUCCUAGUGUAGAGGUGAAAUUCGUAGAUAUUAGGAAGAACACCGGUGGCGAAGGCGGCUCACUGGAUCGGUACUGACGCUGAGGUGCGAAAGCGUGGGGAGCAAACAGGAUUAGAUACCCUCGUAGUCCCUGAGCGGGCUGGCAAGGCGCAU
rnacentral:rRNA from 1 species